UACGAAGGGGGCUAGCGUUGUUCGGAAUUACUGGGCGUAAAGCGCACGUAGGCGGAUAUUUAAGUCAGGGGUGAAAUCCCAGAGCUCAACUCUGGAACUGCCUUUGAUACUGGGUAUCUUGAGUAUGGAAGAGGUAAGUGGAAUUCCGAGUGUAGAGGUGAAAAUUCGUAGAUAUUCGGAGGAACACCAGUGGCGAAGGCGGCUUACUGGUCCAUUACUGACGCUGAGGCGCGACAGCGUGGGGAGCAAACAGG
rnacentral:rRNA from 1 species